rnacentral:rRNA from 1 species
GACGAACGCUGGCGGCGUGCUUAACACAUGCAAGUCGAACGAAGUGGCGAACGGGUGAGUAACGCGUAAUCAACCUGCCCUUCAGGGGGGGACAACAGUUGGAAACGACUGCUAAUACCGCAUACUGAAGAAGGUGAUUGCGUCUGAUUAGCUAGUUGGAGGGGUCACGGCCCACCAAGGCGAUGAGCAGUAGCCGGGCUGAGAGGAGGAACGCUCCCAAUGGGACGUAGACACGCCCCCGACUCCUAAGGGAGGCAGCAGUGGGGAAACUUCCGCAAGGGACGAAAGUCUGACGGAGCACCGCCGCGUGAGUGAUGACGGCCUUUGGGUUGUAAAGCUCUGUUAAUCGGGACGCGGUACCGGAAUAGAAAGCAACGGCUAACUACGUGCCAGCAGCCGCGGUAAUUC